rnacentral:lncRNA from 1 species
AAGAGUUCCAUUGCUUCAUCUACCCUUUUAGCUUUGCAAUAUCCGUUGAUCAUGAUGUUGUAACUACGUAUAGCAGGUGCACAACCCUUCUUACUCAUCAACUGAAAUACUCUUCUAGCUUCAUCCAUUUUGUUUUGCAAGCAAUGACCAUUUAUUAAUGCAUUAUAUGUGACAACAUCAGGCUCAAUGCCUUUCUUUCUCAUUGUAUCAACAAUAUCUUCAGCUUUAGAAACCAUUCCCUCUUUGCAAUGUGCAUCAACCAAUAUACUGUAUGUGACAACAUUAGGUUCAAUGCCUUGCUUUCGCAUUGCAUCAACAGUAUCUACAGCUUCUGAAAUCACCCUCUUCUUGCAAUGUGCAUCUAUCAAUAUAUUAUACGUGACAAUAUCAAGAGAAAUAUUGUUACCCGCCAUUUCAUUCAAAAGCCUGGUUGCCUCCUUCUGCUGGCCCAAGUUACACACACCAUGAAUUAAACAAUUGUAAAUAACAAUAUUUGGUCUAAUGCCCUUAACUUUCAUUUUGGAGAAAAGAUCAAGAGCCUCACUUAGUAACCCCUUCUUACAAAAACAGUCAAUGACAGUGCUAUAUGCUACAAUAUUGGGUUUGAAACCUCUUUCUUCCAUCAUUCUUAGAAACCUAAGAGCUCGAUCAGUAUUCCCGGUCUUGCACAAACCAUUAAGAACUGUAGUGUAAACAAUUAAAUUAGGUCGAUACCCUUUUUCCAUCAUUUCAUCAAACAAACUCAAAGCCUCAGAUAUCUUACUUCGCUUACAAAGUCCAUUAAUCAAAGUGGACAAAGUUACAACAUCAGGUUGAACACCUACCUUCAUCAUUUUCCCCAAAACAGAAGACCCAAAAUCAAUAUAACCUAAUUGACAAAAGCAAUUAAUCAAGAUGUUGAAAGAAUAAAUGUCAUAGGAAACUCCUAAUAAUUCCAUCUGGCUAUACAUAGAAACAGCAAUGGCAUAAUGUUUCAUUCUAACAAUGGCUCCUAAUAAUUUGUUGAAUUCCACAACUGAAGGCUUUCGGUGCUUCGCAACCAUCUUAUUAAACAAAGUCAAAGCAUCAUCCACGUUAUAGAAGCAAUCAUACUUUUUUUGGUUUCCCCUUGCAGAGAUGUGGGGAGAAAUGGUGUUAAAAUAACAAGAAAAUGAAGAGUGGAAAUUAGAAAAGUUCCUUCCACCAUUAACAAUAUGACGAAGAAGCAAUGAAGAAUGAAGCUUACCCAUAUCUUGAAAUUAAGCGAAAGGAAAAGAAAGAGGUGAGCUUCAAAUGAAACCACAAAUGGCGGCGGCAGUCACCGAUAUUCCGUUUAAAGGCUAUCCCUAAUUGGCAGAUUGGUGAGUCAUGGUUUGAAGGUGUUUGAAGGUAAUCCCUUCAUUUCCUUCUUUGUUUGCUCUGCUAAAUUUGAUAUUCCAGGUGCAGACCGCCUCUUUAGGUAAAUU